GGUAGUGUGGGUAGCUCAGUGGUUAGGAUGUUGGGCUACUGAUCAGAAGGUCAUGAGUUCAAUCCCCAGCACCACCA